GAGUGCAGUCUUAGCGAGAAGUCUAACGGUUGGAACAAACAUGGAAUUCCUUAACCGAGCAGAGUCCACAAAACCCCAUCCAUUUGUCAUGACGAUUUGAAAAUGCCAGCAGAUCUAUCAGACAUUGAUCAUAAUCAGUGGACAGGUCACCGUAGCCACCCGGAUUCAGUCUGUAUUCAGAUCAGAUGGUGGAUCAGCACCUAGAGA